GCGUUCUUUUCUGUAUUUUCAAUUAACCGCCGUGGGGGUGUUCAAUCUGGUUUGUUCGAUUGGUUGUGUUUAAUUGAGUUGAUUUUUGGAGGGGACACUAGCUCCCUGGAACGAAUUUCUACAUAUGUGUGCUACUGGUUUCGAGCAUAAAGGCAGCCUAUUGUACUUCUUGUUCCAUUUAUGUGUUAAAGCUCUAACAAGGCUACUACUGUUAUGAGAUUCCUAUAGCCAUGGUUCUAUGUUCUUGAGCUAGCAUGAUGUUCUAACAAGGGCAGAGGGUGUGCUUGUGUUAUAUUGAUUGUGGUUCUUAAUUUGUGGUGCCUCUAUAUGAUGACAUGAGAAUUUGAUUGGGAGAAAAGGAUGGAGGUGUAUUACCUCUGAAAUUCGAAGGAGUGGCUGACUUGCUGCUGCUCACUACUUGCUCUACCCUCUAACUCUCUGUUUUUGCUGAAUUUUGAAGUGUGUGUGAAAGGAGUUGGUGUGUGGUGUGGAGGGGCCUUUAUAGGCUGAGCUUCGGUGUACUAUGGGGAAUUAAAUGGGGCUGAUCUUCUUUGUUUUCAUGGCAUAACAUAUCUCCCUUUUUCUGAUCAUGCAGCCCCUUUAUCUUAAUGUAGUUUGUUGGCUAGCUUGGGUACUUGGUACUUGGUGAAUAAAUCCCAUUGUUUGAUUGUGGCUAGGUAUAACAGGUGUUGCAUUAGUGAAGGCUUUGCAGGCUGGACUUGCCCCCUUUUUGGGUAAGUCCUUGGUCUUCAUAGGAAAAGAAAGGUGAGAGAGAAAUCUUAGCUCCCACCUAGCUGCACUUCGAGCGGGCUUGGAUUUGAUGUCUGGGCCGACGGGCUGCCCGAAACGGGCCCUAAAUUGGGCCUGGAGAAAAGGCCCGAAAUGCACUCCACAUUUUAUAUUUUCCUUUCCUUGUUUUCUUUCUUUAAGGACUUUGAUCCAUGUAACCUAUUCCAUUAGUUGUUC